rnacentral:piRNA from 1 species
UGAAUGAUUGGACAUAAUCUU